rnacentral:misc_RNA from 1 species
AUAUAUUAUGGCACAUAUAUAAAUUAAUGUGUAAGUGAGAAAAUAUUGUAAUUUUAAUAAGUCACCGCAGUGAUUUGAAAAAGGGAUUGGAAAGCCCAAGUGGUAAUUAAUGGAACGAAGGGGAGAUAAUUGACUUGUGCUUAGUCAAUCUUUAAUAACGAAAGAGGAUAAAGUGAAGUAACGCCAUAUUGUGUUGAGGUGAGACAGAAGAAGAAAGUUCGUGUAAAUACACAAAAUAAACAUGGAAGAUAUGUUAAUUGUUGUGAAAAACCCGAAGUAUUAUUCAACGAAAGAAGAAGGAGAACUCUCAGAUGACGAUGAAGAUGGAAUAGUUCGUAAUGAAGGCCGUGGUGAAACAGACGAGAACAUGCCAGUAGAAAACAACAACAACAACAAACAUUAUUGUAGGAAACCUCCAUUGUUUAACAAUCAUUCCAGAGGUAUUUUUGAUAACUUUGGUAACAAUAUGAGAGAUUCUUCUUGUGGUAAUGGUGCUCCUUUCCCAUUGUCUCCAAACCGUAGCGGUGAAGACGGCCCAAGUGGGUACUUCAAAAAACGGCGACUACCCCCGCCACCUUCGUUAUCUUGUGGUAUGAUGAAUCCGGGUGGCCGUAGAGACAACAACAACCCUAUGUCUUCUGACAUGUGUGGUAGUAAUUCUGGUCCAGGUGUUAGUGGUGGUUACUGGGCACCUCCGCCACCUUUAAGACCACAUCACCCGUCACGAAUUCCUCAACAACUGCCACCGAUGUCUCACCACCCGUAUCGUCCUUCGCCUCCAAGGUGUCCAGUUGGACCGGGUGUUGAGAACCUUGGCCCUGGAGGACAUGGUCAGUUGCCUUCUGGUAACAGAGAUAGUCUUCCUCCGGGACCUUGGCAAGACAAUCGUAGAUACGGUCCUAUGACUCCUCGCAGUAAUUUUCAAUUAUGGGAGAAGAAACGGAGAAUGCGUGAGAGUCGUGCAUCGCUGUUUUCUGGUGGUGCUCAUCAAAUGUCGUCUCUCAAGGAAAACAGUGACUAUGAAGACCUGUUGAGAAAGUACCGUAGUAUUCAGAAACAAAUAGCCAAUCUUGAUGAAGAAGAGAAUUUAGCUGUUCAGGAUAAAUCUACUCAGUCUCCUGGCAACAAGAAUUGGGACUCCUAUCGAACUAUUUCUGUUAGCUCCAAAGGUUCUCAAUCUCAUGAAUCAUCUUCAGAGUCUAAUAAAAAAACAAAAAGUCGAUGGAAUCCACCAAAGUCUGGGUCAGAAAGUAAUGAUAAGAGAGUAGUUUUUGUUAAUUCUCAUAAGGCUGAAGACGAGGAUGAUGAAAUAGAAGAACUGCGACGCAUUGCUUUAGCCUCAACAUCAGAAAAUAACAAACCUAAACCCUCUGUUUCAAAAUCCUCUCAGUCAAAGCCUGUUAGUCGGUCAAGAUCUGAGACUCUGCGUCGGAAGACAAACUCUUCAAAUAGAUCGUCAUAUAAAAGAGAGUCAACAGUGUUGAGAGAACAAUCCUGUAAUAAAAGCGGAAUCAAACGGAAACUUGGAUUCCUGAAGCACCGACCAGCUUACCGUUCAUGUCGUAGAAGAUUGAGUUCCAGUGAAGAUAAGUCAAAAUUGGUAAAUAACCAACGCAGAGAGAUAAAUAAAAUUCUUGAAGUAGAUGACCCAGUUGAACAAAUAGAGAGACUAGCAAAGUAUCUCAGUGAAAAGAAGAAGGAAUUGGCAAUUAAUAAUAAGCCUCCAUCCUGUUUGUCCCAGCUGAAUGAAACCAAAAGUGAUGGUAAAACAAGUAAGGUGCUCCAAGACAACUAUGAAGAGGUAGCAAUGGAAAUAGAUUCUGAUGAUGGUCUUGUUGCUGUUAAUGAAAUUGAAGACAUUCAUAUACAAAGAGAGCCAUCCCUUAUGAGUUCUAUAUCUGAACUGCCCCCAGCAUCUGACAGAAAUGGUCAAGAUUUGAACUUUGAAAGCAAUCCAAAAAAUUGGGUAAAUCUAAUACCACCUCCUCCUCCUCCGCCUCCACUGCCACCUCCACCACCACCGCCACCACCUCCACCUCUUGUUGACAAGUCUGAGAAAGUUAAUCCCAAUGAACUCUCUCUCCUUGUGUCUAAUGUUGAUUCCUCAUCACAAGUACCAUACACUCUUGAUCCACUUCUAAGUCCAAAUGUACAACCAUUGAUGUUUCAUGGUCUAGUACCACCACUUCCACCCCCUCCACCACUACCUGAUGAGAAACCACCAGAGAAACCACCCGAGCCAGACUAUGAAGAAGAUGAAGAAGAGGAGAAGCUGCUGCGGGCACAGUUGCUACAAUCAAUGGCCAUACGUCGCAAAGAAAGUGUUCAGAUCCUACCUAAGGCUAUUGUUGAUGAUACUUCAGGGAAAGAAUCACCACUUUCUCCUAGGAGUCAGUCUCCUCACAGCACUGAUGCAAACUUACCUGAUAAGAAACAGCCACCUCAGCAACAGCCAUAUUGUGCUCCAAAGAUUCCGAAGCAUCCUUCUGUAGUAAUAAACUUGGCUGAGGAUUCUACUGAUAGUGAACAUGAGGCAGAACCAGAAACUCAAAAACAGAACAUUCUGUCUGGUAUUGACCAAUUUCUUAAAGAUGCUCGCAAAUCAGUUGAGACCAAGAAGAACAGUAUGGAAUCAAAAGACGUUAGUAACAUUAAGAAAAAUAUCAGCCUGAAUAAGCAGGAAGUAGAUUUGUAUACUGCAGACAGGGGCUUUCGGGAACUCGAAGAGAAAUAUGUUGCUCAAAGAAAACUAAUGUUACAAGACCAAAGAGAAUUGAAAGCUCUAGUAACCCAAGCAUCAAAAGUCCUUACCAAAAUCAAAUCAACAGAAAAGAAGUGUGAGAUUUUCAGGAAAAAUCUGAAAAACUCUGAUCAUUUGGUUGCUAUGUAUCAUAAACAAGAUAUUAAAAUUAAAGACAAGAUACAACUUGUGAAAAUUCAGCUUGCUCAUAAUGAGUCCACGGUAUUACAGUUAGAAAAGAAUCUCCUACAAAUUGGAAAACGUCUUUAUGGUGCCUGCUACCAACCCCGUACAAUUGCUGUUGAUAGUGCUGGAAACAAAAGGGUAUUGCCCCUUCUUUCACAUAAUCAGCUUAAACCAAAAAUUGAGGACAUUCCUCAUAAAAGACAACAACUUCAACAGAUGCAACAACAGUAUGCACUAAUGUUGCAGAAGCUACAGACUCAAGCCAAUAAAAAGAUUACCAAAUCAUCAGUCCUUCAACUGGAGAAAAUUUCAUUAGACUGUACUGAGGAAGCUGAGACAGCCUCUCAACAAAUUGCUGAGAAAAUAGAUUCUCGACGACGUUCAAUGAUUUCACUCAACUCCAAAAUGAAGCCAGAGAUCAUCCAGAACAAAGAAAAUAUUCAACCAGAUAUACGUGUCCCUCAGCAAUUAGAUAAGACAGAAUAUAACUUUGAAAUGCCUGAAAAUUCACAGCUAGCAAACCUUAAAACGAUUUUGCAUGAAAAGAUGCAAAACUUAAUAGAGCCAGCACAAUCAAAAAUUGUUUCUUGGGAAAAUUUCUCUCAUUUGACUCCACCUUCAAAUUCUAUUCCUUAUCCUAAAUCUGAUAAUCAGUCCCUGAAUAAUCUCAAAAUGUCCCAAGCUUUAAGAUUGUAUAAGCCAUACAAAAGUCCCUUGUUACAUUUUCGAGCAUAUCGUUUCAGUCCUUUUCUUCGCACAAAAGAGAAUUUGUCCCUUUCUAGCCAGAGUUUCUCUCAUAAACUGAACUGCAAAAAUAUUCUUUGUCAGUAUGAUCUUCAAGGAACCUGCAAUGACCAACAGUGUAAAAGUCAACAUUUGAAGGAUUAUUCCAUGUCAACACAGGAGAUUUUACAAGAUAUUGUAUCCUAUGCUCCUGCUCUAACUGGUGCUUCUAAGGAACAAUCUGGAGAAAAAAUAGCCGGCCAAAUUUGUGAUUAUGUAGAAAAUAUAAUGAAUCAAAACCAAGGUAGAAUGACUGUUGAUGAAUUGUGUUUACUUCAGAUCAGCAAAGUAAAUGAAUUUGUGCAUCAUGUUCCUCCACAUACCAUGUUUUUUGAACCACGAUGCUGGAAACCAAAUCAAGAAAGUCUGCCUGAUACUGUAGUUGACAUUGACAAAAUUUACACUCAGGAAACUGAUCUCAACCCCCUCUUCUUGAGUUCAAAACCAGAUGUUUUGUCUGAGUGGGAAGAUAUAAUUGAAGAACAAGAUGUACGUUAUUUCGAUAUUGGUAACAAUACAGCAGCAAUCUUAGAUUUAGAGGCUGCUGUACUGGAGAAUCCUCAGAAUGAGCAACUGUGGUUGAAACUUGCAUACAAAAAGUUGUCUAGUCGAAGCAGUGAUGCUGAAUCAGGUCACCUAGAUCAAGCUUUAAAUGUAUUAGCACGUGGUCUAGAAAACAUGAAACAGUCUCCAGAUCUCUGGCAAUAUUAUUUACAGUUGUAUAGUCAACAUCCAGACAGCAAAAAGGACCUUGUUGAUAUGUGUUGUGUUGCCAUUCAAAAUGCUCCUUCAUAUACUUUAUGGUGGCAGUACCUCUGUGCUACGGAGAACUAUUUCAGUAAGAUUGAAAUAUGUAAGCAGAUGCACCAAUAUUUAAAGAAGCAGGAGCCCAGUGAAGUAGUAUCACAACAUAUUACUGAAGUUUCACUAUACCGAUUGGGUAUUACAGUUGUUAGUAAUCGCUUCAAAACUGGAUUGUUGUUUUUCAAGAAUCUACUGCAAACUCCCUCCUCUCAUGAUGAAGAAUUGAUGUCAAUGCUACGCCCAAGUGAUCGAGCUUUGUUAUGGCUCUGCUAUAUCUAUUUACAUGAAUUUCAGCGGUUACCUGACCAACUAUAUGAUUCAACAGGUCAUUUUCUUGACCAUUUGUUCCCUAAGUCUCUCCACAUAGAUUGGUAUAGCCAUUCCAAGCUGCAGUGUGAUAUCAAAUUCUUACAGAAGCUUUAUGAAGAUUGUUUGACCUUCUGUUUACAAACUGAUGGUGAAAGAACUGAUGAGCAUGAUAAAGUGUCUUCUGAAGUCUACUGUAGCUUUCUAAAACUUCUUCACAGUCAGUCCAGAAUGGAUGAAGCCCUUUCUAUAGGGCGUGAAGUGUUAAUGAAGUGGCCACACUUGGAUGACGUUUGGCUCUCAAUGGCUGAAUUUUAUUCAGCAGACAAGAACGUUACUGCUGUUUGGCAGAUAUUUGAUGAGGCACUGAAAACUGGAUGUUACUCAGCAAAGCUUUACUUGUAUGCAUCUCACAUGGCAUUGAGUUUGACUGAUUCUGAAUGUGCAUUAAGAUAUCUGGAGCAGGCAUCAAUAUCUUGUUUCUUGAUAGACAUUACUGAUAGUCGUUGUGAUCCAAACAUUCUUUAUUGCUGUCUACUUCGUCAGACUAUCCCACUUGACUAUAAAAUACCUGAUUAUUGUGAAAAUAUUUCUCCAGAAGUUCUUCAAAAGAACCAAUUAUAUUUCUGGCUUACUUAUUGUUUAUUAUUGGAGUUACAAAGUGAUUAUAGUCAAGCAAUUGAAGGAUAUGAAACUGCUUUGUCCACUAUGAAAUCAACAUCUGACAUUGCUCAAGUUUGGCUACAUUACUUGAACUAUCAAAUUCGCCAAGCAGCUCAUGAAGGAAACAGUGCUGCUGAUAAACUUCAAAGCCUCGUUAUUCGUAGCUUGACUUGCCUUCCAAGUCGAGUGGAGACCUCUACUUCUCGAUACUGGCAUGACCACCAGCAUCAUAACAAAAUCAUUGAUCUUUAUAUUAACUGUCUGGAAUCAACUGAACAGAAGAUGGCUGCUUAUGAUAAAUUCCUUACUAUCAUGCCUAACAAUAUUGAACUCAUACUCAGAGCUGUUGACCUGGCUGUGAGCUGUAAUGAUAUGUGGAGAGCUUUAUCAUUUUGUCAAACUGGGGUCCAUGAAAAACUUCCUUGUAUCAGUUUGUGGAACAAAGUAACUGCAUUGACAGUCCUUAGAUGUAGCCAGAUUGAGAAUAUGCUGACACUGCACUGCUUCUACUGAGACAUUACUAAAGUGAAGGGAAAACUUGGAAAAGAAUUAAGAAUAUAGGAAACCAUUUGAACCUGAUUUUCAACACAGUUUUAUUGAUAGCCCUAACAGCAUCUAGUACAGUUGGAUGAUGGAAAGUAGAUUGUUAGUAUUGCUAAAUUAUAUCCAGAUUGGCUGUUCUUGUUUAUAACUUGGAAUUUUAUUAGUCUUUCUUGAAUUAUAAAAUUCUGUUAUACACUAUAACUUUAUCAUUGUAUAUUACAUGAUCAGUAAUGAGAUAAUGUUAUUGUUUUUUGUAAAUCUGGUAAACUGUUGUCAUAUCUGAAAUAGUAUUAGAUAUGCUGCACCAAGAUUAAGCUGAGUUAGCAAAUAAUAAAUUUUAGUAUUUAUCUAAAUGUAUAAUAAUUGCUUAACAAUACACCAUUUAAAGAUUAUUUGCUACUCUUCUGAGUAUCUUCCAUGUCUCUGUUCUCUACAAAUGAGUUCUUGGUAGACUUUUUCUAAAGUGAGUUAUUUAGCCUUUUAACUUAAGUCUCUGGUCUAAACAUUUAUUAAAUGAAACCAAAUGAGCUCAAACAUUAUUUUGUCUCUUCUUUCAAUAUUCAUGUAUAAUAUAUAUUCAAUAUUUGGAUUUUCUCCAUGGAUCAGUCAUUAUCCACUCUGCUUGCAGGUGCAACAAUUAUUUAUCAAAGCUGUCCGAGUGCUACCCUAUGCUGUAUCAUUGUGGAAACAUUUCCUGUUGUUUGAAGUGACUAUUGGAGCCAAGUCC